GCGGGUAGAGGACAAUGGGAUGGCCAGAGCCUUUCUGUCCCCAAUUGAAAUGAGGAUUUGGCUCAGCAGUUCCCAGCCUCGGUGUCAGCUGAGCUGCCAAGGUUUGACAGGCUUGGUGGAGGUCAGGGGGUCCUCUAGGUCCGGUCCACAUUCCAGUGGUAUCUGAUGCAGGUCCAGAUCUCUGGGUCAUCAGGGAAGAUACCGAACUCCUCAGGAAAGACUGCCACCAGAACAUGUUCCUGUCAUGCUGGUACUAGCAUCUCCACACCACAUUCUAUCACCCCAGGCCCUGGUAAGUAUCACCCGCUCCGUUGCUGCCCUCCUACCAGGGGCUGGGCUAAGCUCUCAUCCACAGGCAAGCUCUCCUAGCAAUUUGUCUGAUUUGCAAGCAGCAGAAUUAUGUAGCUUAAAAGGUGAGGAAAGGCUAUCAGUGAAUUCUAGAUGAUGAGCUUGUUAAAAGGAAAAGAUUAGGGUGACAUUUGUAUUACAAAAGAUGAGAUGGGAGGUGCAGGGGAUGCAUUCCUGGAAUGUGGGACAGUGUGGCGAGGAUCAGAGUGGGAACCCACAACGGAGGUUGAGAAUGAGGCAGAUACCAGUUUGAUGGACAUAAAAGACAUGUAUAUGGAGUCAUGGGAGAUAACGUGCAGAGUGCUUGGAGCUCCUGCUGAGGAAAGAGGGCCCACUGGAGGGUUCUGAGCAGGGUGGUGGCCCAAUCAAAAUCCACUGUGGAGGCGCAUCUGGCAGCCAAGUGCAGGCAGAGUGGAGCAGGAGGAGUCUGGAGGCAGCAGGAUUUACUAACACCGUUUUCAAAAUGGGCUCAGCACCUGCUGUAGCCCCACUGGAGUGCUUUCUACAAAUGCAAAAUACUGAUCCCAUCCAGAACAUUCUGAACUAUACCAGGAGGUGGUAUUUGUUACUAUUCUGGUUUAGAUAGUAUAUGAAACACCCUUUGAGAAAAGCGGCCCUGGAGAACCAGUCCUUACCACUGAAAUUAGCAUUUAAUUUUUUUUUUUUUUUUGCAGUGCUGGGGAUUGAACUCAGUGCCUGGUGCAUGCUAGGCAAGUGAUUUAUCACUGAAUUACAUCCUAAGCUCAUCUAAAACUUUCCAUAACAUGUACCUACCAUGAUUUUUCCUCUUAUAACUGCAUUUUAAAGUUAAUUGAGACAUAACUCACAUACCAUACCAAUGACCCAUUUAAAGUGUAUAAUUCAAUUGUGUUUUAUUCUAUUCAUAGAAUUGUGCAACUAUCACUCCAAUAAAUCUUAGAACAUCUUCAUCACCUCUAAAAGAAUUAUUGUUUACUUUAGAAAUUUUCCCCCAACCCCCUAGGCAACUAUUGAUCAGCUUCUGUCUUCAUAGAUUUGCCUAAACCAUAGAUUUGCCUAAUUUCAUGCAAUUAGAAUCAUACAACAUAUGAUUUUUUGUGACUGACUUCUUUGACUUAGCAUAAUAUCUUCAAGGUUCAUCCACAUUGUAGCAUAUAUCAAUAUUUCAUUCCUCUUUAUGGGUGAAUAGUAUUCCUUUGAAUGGAUAUACCACAUAUCAUUUAUAUAUUCAUCAAUUAUGGACAUUUGAAUUAUAUUUACUUCUUGGUUGUUAUAAAUAAGCAACACUUAUGUACAUGUUUUUGUGUAGACAUAUGUUUUCAUCUGUCUUGGUCAUAAAUAAUACCUUCAAUCUCACCUGAAGUGGGGUUGCUCAGUCAUAUAAUAGAUCUAUGUUUAAUCUUUGGGGACACUGCCAGUGUGUGUUUUCCAAAGUGGUUACACCUUCUUUCACUCCCACCAGCAGUUUAUGAGGGUUCUGGUUUCUCCACAUUAUUCGUUAUUAUUUGACUUUUAAUUUCUAGCUAUCCUAGUGGAUACCUUGUUGUAGAAUUCAGUUACCCAAUUAAAGAAUACAAUCAAAUAGUUUUUGGAUUAUUACAUUAUUUUAUUGUGGUUUUGAUUUGCAUUUCCCUGGUGAAUAAUGAUGUUGAACCUCCUUUUUUGGUAUAUAUCAGCCACUUGUAUCUCUCCUUUGGAGAAAUCUCUCUUCACAUCUUGGCCUAUUUUCUCUUCCAGAUUUAUUGAAGUAUAAUUAAAAAAUAAAAAUUAUGUGUGCCUAUUUUAUCUACCUAUUUGUUUAAAAUUUUUUAUUGGUGUAUUAUAAUUAUACUUAAUGGUGG
rnacentral:lncRNA from 1 species